GCGAGAGUAGUACUAGGAUGGGUGACCUCCUGGGAAGUCCUCGUGUUGCAUUCC
rnacentral:rRNA from 1 species